rnacentral:tRNA from 3 species
AGGGGUGUAGUUUAGUGGUAGAACAGGAGUCUCCAAAACUUCUAGUGUGGGUUCGAUUCCUACCACCCCUG